GACAGAGGGUGCAAGCGUUGUUCGGAACUAUUGGGCGUAAAGAGCUCGUAGGCGGCCUGUCGCGUCAAUUGUGAAAGCCCGGGGCUUAACCCCGGGUCUGCAGUCGAUACGGGCAGGCUAGAGUGUGGUAGGGGAGAUCGGAAUUCCUGGUGUAGCGGUGAAAUGCGCAGAUAUCAGGAGGAACACCGGUGGCGAAGGCGGAUCUCUGGGCCGAUACUGACGCUGAGGAGCGAAAGCGUGGGGAGCGAACAGG
rnacentral:rRNA from 1 species